rnacentral:rRNA from 1 species
UAAGGACAAGAAGACCCUAAGAAUUUUAAAAAUUUCAAUAAAAUGCUGUAUUUAAUUGAAAUUUUUUAAUUGGGGCGAUUAUUAAAUAUUAAAAACUUUAAUUUUUUUUAAAAAAGAACCAAUAAUAUUGGUUAUUUGAAAAAAUACUCUAGGGAUAACAGCGUAAUAAUUUUUGAUAGUUCUUAUAGACAAAAUAGUUUGCGACCUCGAUGUUGGAUUAGGAUUCUUUUUUAAUGAAGAAGUUAAAAAAAGAAGUUUGUUCAACUUUUAAAAUCCUACUUGAUCUGAGUUCAGACCGG